UAUAACGAGGGGUAUUCUUAGACCAUUUUAGAAAGUAAAGGUGCAUAUUUGGCUCUUUGCCGUAUUAUUUUUCCUUUGUUCUCUUGGAGCCUGGCUAUAAAAAGGGAACGAUCAAGUGAGAGGGUGUAUAAAUAAGAAAGGAAAGACCAACAAUUAACGGCUUCCAAAUUAGGAUCAACUUAGACAAGGAUGGCAAGCGCAGUUAGUAUUCCCACAAUUGAUCUGUCAACUUUCUUCUUGAAUGAAGAAGAUCGAGAGGGCAAGAAGAAGGUCACUGACAUAAUCAAACAAGCCUGCUCUGAGUACGGCUUAUUUCAAGUGGUAAACCAUGGCGUACCCAUAGAUUUCAUUCACCAAGCUAUGGAGUUGUCGUUAUUUUGUUGACAAGAAUUCUUUGAUCAACCAUGGUGGAUAUUUUGUUGAGUUAUCGUUACUUCCCAGGACCCUACUGUUUUGAGUCUCAUAUUUCAGGAUGAUGCUGGAGGUUUAGAAGUUCUCAUUGAUAGGGAAUGGAUACCUGUCACUCCAACUGAGGGUGCCUUGGUCUUCCAUAUAAGCGAUGUUCUUCAGGUGCUAACCAACGACAGAUUUGUGAGCCCUUUCCACCAAGUGGUGAGGCCCAAGGGAAAAAGUCGUUACGUUUUUGUAUUUUUCUACAAUUUGAAUGGAGAUAAAUGGGUUGAACCAUUGCCACAAUUUAGUAAAGAAAUCGGGGAGCCUCCAAAAUAUAGGAGAUUCCAAUAUAAGGAUUACUUUGGUGUGAGAGUAAAAGAGAAGUUGAAUCCUCCAGCCAGGCACGAAGACAAUACAACAUUAAUCACCUUUGCCUCUGCGACUUAGAGACAAUUGAACUACUGCAUUUUGCUUGAUUUUCUAUGUUGUAUCUUGAGUAUAAUAACGUCGUGAGUGAGUUUAUAUUUGCAAAGGAUAUCCAGUCCAAUCCAUGCUUGGGUUAAAUGUAUAUUUGCCAAAAACUUUCUAUUCGUAUUUUCAAACUCA